UAUAGCCCACCAGAUAUCCAACAAAGAUACAUUUGAAAGACUUAUAAUCAAGUUUAUUUCCUAAGAGGACUCAAGUGACGAACAAAGCAAACACAACAAAAAAACAUGAGGAGAAAUAGGAAGAUAGAGGUGGGUCAGAUUCCAACACUCAAAUUGGAGAUUUACCACUUAGAAUAGCCAUACAAUUAAUCAAUUAGCAAACACAACUUUUUUCUUACCAGUAUUACAUCUUAGUGAGAAGAGCAUAGGUAACCUCCAAAAGAUGCCGGUUUCUUUGCUCAACUACUCCAUUUUUUUUGGAGGAUACAUGGACAGAUAGUUUAAGAGUUGUUGCAGCCAAAAUCCAACUCGGUUAGAACCACCCAGAGGGUGCUAGUGGACCUACGAUUAUAGAAUAUGAUCUGUCUAGGAGUCAUAGAUCUGCACACAAAAUAAAUAAAAAAUAAUUCACUAGAUUGGCUCUGAUCGAGCCCUCCGAUGUCUAAGUUAAAUCGGAUUUUGAAAAAACGGUAAUAAAGAGAAUAUAAUAGGGCAUUAUAGUGCAAAAUGUAAUCCUGCCUUAGUCAGCUCACUUUAGACUUCUUGGAUUGGCCUUAAGAUCAAUCUUUAGGAGCUUUGUCUUAAAGAGCUCGACUUAUUGGAGCUUGGCCUUCUCGACCUUCUAAUAAGCUUGGCCUUCUAAGGUCGGCUUUUUGAUGGGCUCAACCUUCUUGGUUUUUUGAGGUCGAUUUUCUAAUAAGCUAAAUAUUCUCA
rnacentral:lncRNA from 1 species